UCAGCUCUCUUUGCCUUUUGGCUUAGAUCAAGUGCAGUAACUGUCCAUCUGCCUUUGACACGGCAGAGGCUCCUAGGAGGAGGGAGUCGCUUGCUCUGCAUUAUUUGGAACUGGCCUGGAGAGCGCUGGGCUCUGCUUAUCUUCCUGGGCAGGCACAGUGCCGCUCUUAUUGCACUGACUGGAGCUGGCGGAAACCUUA
rnacentral:snRNA from 1 species